rnacentral:rRNA from 1 species
AAAGUCUGACGGAGCAACGCCGCGUGAGUGAAGAAGGUUUUCGGAUCGUAAAACUCUGUUUUCAGGGACGAAUGUGCAGAUUAGUAAAUAAUGAUUUGUAAUGACGGUACCUGAGUAGAAAGCCACGGCUAACUACGUGCCAGCAGCCGCGGUAAUACGUAGGUGGCAAGCGUUGUCCGGAAUUAUUGGGCGUAAAGCGCGCGCAGGUGGGAUAUUAAGUCUGGUGUUAAAGUUCGGGGCUCAACCCCGUGAAGCAUUUGGAAACUGAUAUUCUUGAGUGCAGGAGAGGAAAGUGGAAUUCCUAGUGUAGCGGUGAAAUGCGUAGAUAUUAGGAGGAACACCAGUGGCGAAGGCGACUUUCUGGACUGUGUCUGACACUGAGGCGCGAAAGCCAGGGUAGUGAACGGGAUUAGAUACCCCGGUAAUCCUGGCCGUAAACGAUGGGUACUAGGUGUUGGGGGUAUCGACCCCUCCAGUGCCGGAGUUAACGCAAUAAGUACCCCGCCUGGGGAGUACGGCCGCAAGGUUG